AACCAUUCUCACCUGCGGCUAGACCUGCGGAAGGAUCAUUACCGAGUUAUACAACUCAUCAACCCUGUGAACAUACCUAAAACGUUGCCUCGGCGGGAACAGACGGCCCCGUAACACGGGCCGCCCCCGCCAGAGGACCCCCUAACUCUGUUUCUAUAAUGUUUUUUCUGAGUAAACAAGCAAAUAAAUCAAAACUUUUAGCAACGGAUCU
rnacentral:misc_RNA from 1 species